rnacentral:sRNA from 1 species
GCCAGGUGUGGUGGUGGACACCUGUAAUCUCAGCUACUCAGGAGGCUGAGGCAGAAGGUUCACAAGUUGGAGGCCAGCCUGGGUAAUUUAGUGAGACUCUGUCUUAA